CUUAGAAUUUGGGACAUGUCGUUUAGCGAAAUUCCAAAGCCUUACCCAAAAUAAUAAUACGCUAGUCGUUUUAGGUGCGCCUUUAAUAAUUUAAUUUUCUUAAACUCGGAUGUGACCCAAAUCCAAAUCUCAGCGGAGUCAAAGUGUGUCGACGACCACGGGUACAUUGAUUGUGACGCGGUUUGAGAUACAUUUUCACAACGUUGCAAUUCCCUGUAAAAAUAAUAAUAAUUAUGAAAGCGGUAAAAAAAGUUAAAAUUUGCACAUAAGUUUUUAUUUGUAUAAAAUCAGAUAAUCAAGCCUAAUAUGACAGUUGAGCGACCGUGCUAGAACCACGGAACUCGGGAAUGCCUAACACCUUCUCUCGGGUUAACAAAAUUCCUUAUCCGGAUUUCUGGUACGCAGACUGUAAUAUGGAGUCAUUAUUUUCCUCGAUCCGGGAUUAAAAAUUGGUGACUUGGGACACCCUAAAUCUCCCAAGUGGCGACUCUGAAAUAAAUAAACAAAUCCCGUUUCGAUUGUCCUUUAAUUGGAAAAAAUCCUUGUACCCUCUCGGGAGCGGAAAAAGGAGGUGUGACACCCAUUAGAUUCCUAGUCCUAAACCUUGUUCUUUCAUGGUAGAAUUAGGUAUUUUUGGAAGAAUCGGGGGGGGGGGGGGGGGGUUUGCCAAUUGAGGAUUUAGACCUCGAUUUGGGGUCGGAUUCUAAAACUAAUUAUAUAUUCGGGCUCGGGGUGAAUGGGUUUUGGUCAAAACCUCGAGUUUUGGCCAAGCAGGCCCGGGGUCGAUUUUGAUUUUUGGGGAAAGUGUUGGGAAAACCUAAAAUCAUGUAUUGAAGUUUAUUUCUUUAGCAAUAUUUGAUACUAUUGAGUUAAUUGUCGCUAGAUACGAUUGGUUCGGAGGUGGAUACUAGAGGAAAAGAGGUAAUUGAGCAUUGGGUCGCCUGCGGAGCGAGGUAAGUUUUGUGUCUAACCUUGGCUUGAGGGAUUAGGUAUUGUUGCCUAUUUGCUACAUGUUUGGUUGUUGAGUACAACGUAUAGGUGAGGUGACGAGUACCUAUGCAUUGUUGUUGAGUCAUAGCAUGCGAGUGAGUCUUAUUCUUGUAAUCGUUAUAUUCUUUAAUCAUAUUAUUCAUGCUUAGACUAGUUAUUCUUUAUGUUGAAAAACUCUUAUCAUGUUUUAUGGAAUUUGAUAUUGAUUGAGUAUAGACUCAAAGUUGAGGUUGACAUUGUGGAACUAAAUGUUGAAGUGAGACUUGUCAUCGGUAAUUCUAUCUCCCUGUUGUUAUUAUUCAUUAUUUUGGUGAGGCAGAGUGUAAAGCAUAAAGGGUGAUGUCGUGCCAUUUAAUAUUCAUUAUCGUGUGAGGAAGAGUGUAAAGAACAAUGGGUGAUGCUGUGCCAUUUCAUAUCCAUUAUCAUGUGAGGAAGAGUGUAAAGCACGAAGGUUGAUGUCGUGUCAUUUUAUAUUCAUUAUCAUCGUUUCUUUCAUUUAUUCUGGUGAGGUGAGAGUAAAAGCACGAAGAGUGAUGUUGUGCACUUGUUUUGCUAUGUUUAAUAUUUUCAUUGGUGCAAAGUAUGUUUUUUGUUGUGUUUCUUUACUGUUACCAUUUUCAUGAUCUUGUACUCCCCUCAGCAUGUUUCCCCCUCCCAUUAUUAUUUGUUUAGUUUCUAUGAGUUGUUAUUGCUCGUAUAUUGUUUAACUGCAUAUGUUUAUGUUGUUGUUUUGUCCUAACCUCGUCACUACUUCGCCGAGGUUAGGCUCGGCACUUACCAGUAUAUGGAGUCGGUUGUACUGAUACUGCAUUCUGCACUUUCUGUUCAAAUUUCGGUACCGAUUCGAGCUGAUCUUUAGUUUAGUUGCUGGCUUCAUCUGAUCGGAGAUCCAAGAUAGACCUGUUGGCGUCCGCAGGCCCUGACGUCCCCUUCCAUACAUUCACUUUACUAUUUUUUUUGGUAUAGAAAACAGUUAUAUUUCCUUCAGACAUUUGUUGUAGUUAAAUCUUAGAAGUUCGUGGAUUAUGCUUCAGAUUCUGGGUAGCUUUAUAUAUUAAGAUUGUUAUGGAUUUCGACACUCUUUUUAACUUGUUAUGGUUUAAUUAUUAUUAAUCACUGAAAGGCUUAAGAAUUGGUUUAAUAAUCUCUAACAUUGGCUUACCUAGAAAGUAAAAUGUUAGGCGUCAUCACGGUUCUUACGGUGAGAAUUCCGGAUCGUGACACUAAAUGAAUUAGGUGCAGUGAAAGAAUUAUACAGGAUCUUUAUACAAAUAGCUGGUCAUAUUCGACAUUUACUUUUUCUAGUCAUAUACAUAGACUAUAUGUUGAUUAUACAUAAUUAUACACAUAUAAUGUAAGCACAUAAUUUUUGACCCGGGCAACUUUUAAAAGUAGUAUUUUAAAAAUAUUUACUUAUUUUUCAUUUUAAUAGAAUUUCAGUCAACUUUUAAUUUUGAAAAACAUAAGUUCAAAUACACAAAAAAAUAGCUUUAUAAUAUUUCUUCUCUUAUUAUAUAUCUUUUUUUAAUCUUUUAUUUAUUUAUUUAAGUUUAUUAGUAUUUUAUAAUGAUAACAUUAUAAUUUUUACCAUUACUUUAAUAUAGUUUUCUGUACCUUUUUCUAACAUCUAAAAAUACCAAAAAUAUUUUUAUUUUAAUAUAUAGUUCACUUUAAUAGUUUAUUCUUAUUAAUUAGUAUAUUUCAGUAGUAUUUUUAUUUUUAUUUUUGUUCAAUGAGAAAGAAUUGAAUUUGGGCCAAUUGGGAGCUCAUUUUCGGAUUUUAGUAGUCCGGCAAGACAAAGGUUUAUUCUUCUCAACCCAUUAGCCCAUUCUCCACUUAAACGCAAGAUUUAAUCUUAGUCAUCUACUCCUCUCUAAUCCAGCGAUCAUUAUCCCUUCCCACCUGCUCAUAAAAUACCAAUUAUGAAAACCGUAACCCCAAUCUUGAAAGAGAAGGAAACGACUCCCCUUCAAAAAAAGUCAUCUCUAUCCUGACACAUUUUUCAUUUUUCAAAAGCAGCAGAUGGGCAAAAGCUUUUGAGCUCAAAGUACGGACCCCCCUCCCAUUUCAAAAAAAGAACAAAACAACUCAAAAGAAAAUGGACAAAAACAGAUACAUACAUAGAGGAACGAAAAAGUGACAAAUUUGAGGGGAAUUAAAAGAUUAGACGCCAUUUGCUAUCAACGUGAACUGCUGCUUUUCUUGUUCUUCGAUUCAGCUAAAUUGAGUCCGUUCGCGGCUCGAUUCACGGUUCCGUCGAGGUUGGCUGUCUCUUAGCUUUUCUUUUUCUUCCUAUAAAGUGCUUCAUCGAUGCUUGUUUUAUAUUGCAGCACUUUGGUUCGUAUAAAUGAAAGAUUUGUUGAUUAAUUUGGGUGUAGCAGCUUUACUUUAUAUUUCACUCUUCUUCUACUUUCGAUUCUGACGAUGUUAAUUGAUUUGUCAUAAUCUCGUCCAAGCAUGCCAGAUUUGCUCUGUAUUUCUUAUUCAAGCCUCGGGUCUUAUCUAUUAUUGUAACGACCUAAUUGGUUGUUUUGCUUUUUAGAACCCCGUUCCAAUAGAUAAGACUUCCCGUACUUGCUUUUACUUAUUUAUGACUUGCAGGAAUGGUUGGUUCGGGAUUUGGAAGAGUUUGGAUUGAAAUCAAACAUUUGGUUCCUUAAGGUUGGCUAAAAAGGUCAAGUUUGACUUCGGUCAACGUUUUGAGUAAACGACCUCGGAAUUCGAAUUUUAAGGUUCCAACAGGUUCAUAUGAUGAUUUCGAACUUGAGCGUAUGUCCGAAUCGGGUUUUGGAUGACCCGGGAGCGUUUUGGUGCCUAAUAGUGAAAGUUGAUUCCUUAUUUUGAAGUUCUUAAAUAUUUGGUUUGAAGUGGAUUUUUGUGUUAUUAAGGUCCAAACGGAGUUCCGAGACCGGGAAUAGUUCUGUAUUGCCAUUUAAGACUUGCACACAAAAUUUGGUAUAAAUCCAAGUAGUGUAAGUGUGUUUCGUCGCAUUGGAGGUAAAUUGAAGAAUUUAAAGUUCACAAGUUUGAUCCACUUGGUUUUAGGGGGUGAUUCUUAGAUUUAGCAUUGUUUUGGGCGUUCCGAGGGUUCGCGCAAGUCCGUUAUAUGAUUUCAAACUUGUCGGUAUGUUCGGGCAGGACCUGGGGACCCCGAGUGUCAAUCAGACGAGGCUCGAUGAAGUUGUAAAAUUUUGAAAGGAGCUGAAACUCCAGGUAUCUGUCAUAACUGCACCUGCGGUUGGUCAGCUGCAGGUGCGAGACCGCAGAAGCGGUCGAGCCCUCGCAGGUGCGGCCAAGGGGGAGGAGCCCAGGAACCGCAAAUGCGGCUCCUUUUCCGCAGAAACGGACCUGCAGGAGCGGCCCCAGACCGCAGAAGCGGUCCCAGCCAGCCCAGCCCAGCUCCACAGAUGCGGACAUUCACCCGCAGAAGCGAGUUGCCCCGAACCGCAGGUGCGAAAAUCGUUGAAGGCAGUGCCUUCAUUUAAUACGGGAAUGUGCCAUUUUUUUACACAUUUCCUUCAUUGUUUGGGCGAUUUGGGAGCUUCCAAAGAGGGAAUUUCAAUCUAUCAUUGUGAGGUAAGUUAUUUCUACUUAAUGUGAGUUUAAUACUUGGGUUUUGGGUAGAUUAACACAUAAAGAUUAGUGAAAAUCAUGGGAUUAGAGUAAAACCUAGGGUUUUGAUAAAAACAAGAUUUAACCACGAACUUUAUUAUGCAAUGAAACAGAAAUCAUAUAUUCUUGAUCCUUAGGUUAUGAGUAACAACUUCCCUCAAAAAAAAAAAUUGGAAUCCGGGUACGUGGACCCGGGGAUGGAUUUUAGGAAACUUGUAUUUAGGGUUGGGGAAUUACUUUAAUAGUUGGAAUAUGAACUCUUGAGCUUGUAUUGACUAGUUCUUACCCCGUUUAAUUAGUUAUGGAUCGUUCGGCUGCGGAGUUAAGGGUUUGAGCACAUUCUUGAUAUUGGAAGUAAGCUUUGGAGCGAGGUGAGUCUCCUUUCUAACCUCGUAAGAGGGAAAUAAACCCCUAAGUGAAUCUAAUAAAUGUAUGAGAUUGUUUGUGGCGGCUACGUACGUACGUGAUGACGAGAGUCUGUGCGUAGCUACUAUUAUGCUAAUUGUACGAGUAGUUUCGGACCCGUAUUAUGCCAUACUUGCAAAUGCUUAUAUUCUUUCAUGCUAAUGAGAUCACUUAGGACAUGUUAGGGAUUGAAAAUAAACAUAAACGAACGUAUGCACUUACUUGAGAACUUGUGUGAACUUAUUUGAAUAUGAUUGCGCCUUUAUGUGCCUUCUUGAUAAUAAUUGAUUAUUGUGGAUCGGGCCGAUUGCCUCGGUAGAAAUAGAUGCAUCUAUGGUUCGCGCCAUUCGACCCUCUGGCAGUGCAUAAUUUCUUUUAUGUUGGACCGGGCUGUAUGACUUCGGCAUAAUGUGCGUAUGAUAUUUAUGUGAAAUCUUAUCCAUGACUUACUCUGUUAAAUGCCUUGAAGUGCAAUUAUUCUAAGACAUGGCCGAAAGUGAUAUACUGUACUCUUUAAAUUCUGAGCUUGCCAUUAUGUUCAUGUUAUCCAUACUUAGUGUAAUAUUUAAUUAUUAUUGGCAUUGACCUUAGUAAGUGUCAAGUCGACCUCUCGUCACUACUUCUUCGAGGUUAGACUGGAUACUUGCUGGGUACAUGUUGUUUAUGUACUCAUACUACGCUUCUGUACUUAAUUGUACAGGAUCUGAGGCAGGUACAUCUGGCUACCCAUCUGGUGUGCAUCCUUGAUAGUAGGCCGAGAUUCCACGAUGAGCUGCUCCCUUCCUAUGCCGUCCAGCAGCAUGAUGGAGUCUCUCUUUGUUUUGACUGUCUAUUCUAUUUCAGACAGUAGGACAGAUUUAUUCUUUUGUAUAUUUUACUAGAUGCCCAUAUACUUGUUACACCAGGUCUUGACACACACAUUGGUAGACUAUUCUUUUGGGUUGUAUAUCUAUUACUUUAAGUUUUUAAUUAUCACUUGUUUUAAAUUCAAGUUAAGAAAAUGCUGGAGUUGUUUUGGUAAAGUAAAAUGAGAACACACUAAUAUCUUCGAGUUGGCUUACCUGACAAUGAUGUUGGGCAUCAUCAUAACCUAUAAUAAAAUUGGGUCGUGACAAUUAUUGCUAUUUAACAUAAUUUUUCUUUCCCUGUUAAACACCUGUAAACAUCAAGUUCUGCUCAUUUGUGUGUGCCCUUUCAUACAUUAUUUAGUGCCCGUUAAAGAUUGGGACUUUUGUGGUAAAAUUUAAAGGUUGGCCUACGUCAGUUGAUAAAUGAAUACCAAUUGCCUCUGUAUCUUUAAGCAUUAGUUCAAUAAUUAAGUACCGUCAUUUCUUCACAAUAAAUCCAUAGUUGUUGACCUCACAAUAAUCCUGAAUUAGUUUUAGAAAAACCAUGAACACGCGCGUAAAUAAAUUAUUGUGAUUAUGGGUACGGUUUUCGUGGCAUAAUCAGGAUAUAUAAUUCCUAAUUUGAGUGUGUGUUUCACAUGACUCGACCAUAACUUCAAAUAAUAACAAAAAUAAAUAUGUUGUAAAUCGCGGGUGUGUUUCACGUGACGCGAUUCGCAAUGUGUUCGAAUACAACAAGUGCGCACCAUUGUGACUUAUUUAAAUAAAUUUCAUAAAUCCUAAAAGCAAUUAAAACUCUAUUAAAAGCGGUUAGAAAGUUAAAAAUGCACAAUAGAUUUAAACAUAUAAUAAAUCAGAUAAUUAUGUCAAUUAUUAAUAGUUGAGAGACCGUGCUAAAAUCACGAAACUUAGGAGUGCCUUACACCUUCUCCCGGGUUAACAGAAUUCU
rnacentral:lncRNA from 1 species